UUAAAUGAAGCCAAAAUAGAGGCAUAUUACUGUUAAUAAUAAAAUUGAAUAAAAUUUUCCUUUUAAA
rnacentral:tRNA from 1 species